rnacentral:rRNA from 1 species
CAGGACCGUGAAACGACUUUGCGCCGAUGAUAGUGCUGCAACCAGUGUGAAAGUAGGUCAUCGUCAGGC